UAGUCCACGCCGUAAACGAUGAGUGCUAGUCGUCGGGAUCUUUAGAUUUCGGUGACGCAGCUAACGCGUUAAGCACUCCGCCUGGGGAGUACGGUCGCAAGAUUAAAACUCGAAGGAAUUGACGGGGACCCGCACAAGCGGUGGAGCAUGUGGUUUAAUUCGAGGCAACGCGAAGAACCUUACCAGGGCUUGACAUCCCGAUCGCGGUUUUCAGAGAUGAUUACCUUCAGUUUGGCUGGAUCGGUGACAGGUGCUGCAUGGCUGUCGUCAGCUCGUGUCGUGAGAUGUUGGGUUAAGUCCCGCAGCGAGCGCAACCCUCAUCCUUAGUUGCUAACAUUUAGUUGAGAACUCUAAAGGAAACUGCCGGCGUUAAGCCGGAGGAAGGUGGGGAGUGACGUCAAGUCUUCAUGGCCCUUACGCCCUGGGCUACACACGUGCUACAAUGGCGGUGACAGAGGGACGCUACCCCGCGAGGGGAUGCAAAUCUCCAAAAACCGCCUCAGUUCAGAUUGG
rnacentral:rRNA from 1 species